AGAGUUUGAUCCUGGCUCAGGAUGAACGCUGGCGGCGUGGUUUAGGCAUGCAAGUCAAGGGGUCUCGCUUUUGCGAGAUAACCGGCGGACGGGUUAGUAACACGUGGGAACAUACCCUUAAGACGGGGAUAAUUCUGAGAAAUCAGAGCUAAUACCCGAUAGUCUCUUUUGAUGAAAAUCUUAAGAGUAAAUGGAAUUUUUUCGCUUAAGGAUUGGCCUGCGGCUUAUCAGCUAGAAGGUACGGUAAUGGCGUACCUUGGCUAUGACGAGUAGGCGGGGUUAGCGCCUGAUCGCCAACAAGGGCACUGAGACACGGGCCCUACUCCUACGGGAGGCAGCAGUCGAGAAUCAUCCACAAUGGGGGAAACCCUGAUGGUGCGACGCCGCGUGUUUGAAGAAGCCCUACGGGGUGUAAAAAACUUUUCUGGAGGAAGAAGAUAUGUUCUUUCGAGGGCAUAUUUGACUGUACUUCAGGAAUAAGGGGGUGCCAAUCCUGUGCCAGCAGCAGCGGUAAUACAGGACCCCCAAGCGUUAUCCGGUUUCAUUGGGCGUAAAGCGUUUGUAGGCGGUUUAUUAAGUUUCCUGUUAAAUUUUCAGAGCUCAACUCUGAAAGUGCGGGAAAAACUGAUAGACUAGAGGGAGUUAGAGGCUGGCGGAACGGUCGGUGUAGGGGUGGAAUCCGUUGAUAUCGACCGGAACACCAAAAGCGAAGGCAGCCAGCUGGGGCAACCCUGACGCUGAGAAACGAAGGCAUGGGGAGAGAAGAGGAUUAGAUACCCUCGUAUUCCAUGCUGUAAACGAUGGACACUAGCUAUUUGAAGUGUCGACCCUUCAAGUGGCGAAGCUAACGCAUUAAGUGUCCCGCCUGGGAAGUACGGCCGCAAGGCUAAAACUCAAAGGAAUAGACGGGGACUCACAAAAGCGGUGGAUCAUGUGGCUUAAUUCGACGCUACGCGAGGGAUCUUACCAGGGCUUGACAUCUAGACGAAAGUCGCUGGAAACAGUGACCUUUCUUCGGAACGGCUAGACAGGUGUUGCAUGGCUGUCGUCAGUAUGUGCCGUGAGGUGCACGCUUAAAUGCGGUAACAUACGCAACCCCUAUCCUAUGUUUUAUAUGUCAUGGGAGACUGCCCGGGACAACUGGGAGGAAGGUGGGGAUGACGCCAAGUCAGCAUGACCCUUAUGCUCUGGGCUGCACACAUGAUACAAUGGUCGGUACAACGGGUCGCGAAAGCGUAAGCUGGAGCUAAUCCUUAAAGCCGGCCCAAGUUCGGAUUGAGGUCUGGAACUCGACCUCAUGAAGUCGGAAUCGCUAGUAAUCGCCAAUCAUCAACGUGGCGAUGAAUACUUCCCUGAGUCUUGUACUCACUGCCCAUCACGCCAAGCGAGCUGGAAAUACCCGAAGCAUUGCCUUAUGGCAGUACCACGGUAGAGUCAGUGAGAGGGGCGAAGUUGUAACAAGGCACCGGUAGCGGAAGCUGUCGGUG
rnacentral:rRNA from 1 species